UGCCAGCCGCCGCGGUAAGACGGAGGGUGCGAGCGUUAUUCGGAAUUACUGGGCGUAAAGCGUACGUAGGCGGUUGGUUAAGUCGAAUGUUAAAGCUCGGAGCUCAACUCCGUAGAUGCAUUCGAUACUGGUCAACUAGAGGGUGGCAGAGGAAAGCGGAAUUCCAAGUGUAGCGGUGAAAUGCGUAGAUAUUUGGAGGAACAUCGGUAGCGAAAGCGGCUUUCUGGACCAUUCCUGACGCUGAGGUACGAAAGCGUGGGUAGCAAACAGGAUUAGAUA
rnacentral:rRNA from 1 species